rnacentral:rRNA from 1 species
AGGUGUUGCAUGGCUGUCGUCAGCUCGUGUCGUGAGAUGUUGGGUUAAGUCCCGCAACGAGCGCAACCCUCAUCCUUAGUUACCAUCAGGUAAUGCUGGGGACUUUAAGGAAACUGCCAGUGAUAAACUGGAGGAAGGUGGGGAUGAUGUCAAGUCAUCAUGGCCCUUAUGGAGUGGGCUACACACGUGCUACAAUGGUGGCUACAAUGGGCUGCAAAGUCGCGAGGCUAAGCUAAUCCCUUAAAAGCCAUCUCAGUUCGGAUUGUACUCUGCAACUCGAGUGCAUGAAGUUGGAAUCGCUAGUAAUCGUGGAUCAGCACGCCACGGUGAAUACGUUCUCGGGUCUUGUACACACUGCCCGUCACGCCAUGGGAAUUGGU